AUUUCUGAAAAAAAAUUAUAAAAAUGGAAAACCUUCAUCCUAAUCCCAACUAAACUCCAUUCUCUCUCGUUCAUAAAAAUAUUGAUUCAGUGUCUGAACCCUAAUUGAUCCAAUAAACUCCCACAACGAAACCCAAUCUUCUUCGUAUCAGAAUCCAUGACUACUAUGGAGCCAGUUGUGGAUGUUAGAGAGAAGGAAUCGUUGGAUUAAAAAAAAUAUCAGAGAAGAACCACCACGGUGGUGAUUGACGAUGACAAAGUAAGUAUUCAAACUCUUUUUUUUUGUGAAAUCAAAAGCUUACCCCUUGUUCGGAAGUGAUAAGCUUGUACACAAGGUUCUCGACGGUGGACAACAUAUGUUAUCUCAGAUCUGACCUUGCUUUCAUAUGAAAUGCAGAACAUGUAGGUUUUUUUAAGAUUGAGAUUUAUUUGCUGAAGAUUAAUGAUCUGAAUAUGGGAGUGAUUCAGUUUGUAGUGUAUGGGGCUGUUCGUUUCUCCAUUCAAAUGAUCCAUUUAGAUGGAAAUGAACUUUGUGUUCGUUUAGACACAAAAAGUACAACUCAUUCAAAUGGUUCAUUUGAAUGAUUUUAGAAAAAAUAGGUUUAAUUUAAAGACUCAGUUGGCUGGACCGAAACGAAGCAGUUGGCUGGAGAUGGCUCAGUCAAAAUACUGAAAUGUCGAUUUGCCCCUCACCAAUUCCUGAAAUUACAAACCUAAGACUAAGACUCUUGUAUCUCUGCCGUGAACGAUGAAACCUCCACAUCUCUCCUCUGGCCAUGAAUUCAUCGCCAUGAAAGCUUGAGCUCUCUCUCUCCGUGACUCUCUCUCUCUCUCUCCGCCAUCUCUCUCUCUGCGUCUCUCUGUCCGCGUCUCUCUCUUCGCAUCUCUCUCGCCAUGAAAUCGCCAUGAAAGCUUGAUAUCUCUCUCUCCGCCUCUCUCUCUCCGUGUCUCUCUCUCUCCGCGUCUCUCUCUCCGCCUCUCUCUCUCUCAGCUUCCAGGGGAUGUGCCUUGCAGUGUGCCAUUCUCAGACCCACCUUCAAAGUCCGUGAGUUCCAGGUUCAUGAGAGUUUCCCUUUCUCCAUUUCGCUGGCGUGGAAAGGAGCAGCUGUUGAUGCUCAAAAUGAAGGAGCUGAGAAUCAGCAGAGCACCAUUGUUUUCCCCAAAGGAAACUCAAUUCCUAGUGCCAAGGCUCUAACGUUUUACCGCUCUGGAACAUUCUCUGUCGAUGUGCAGUACAUUGAUGUGACUGACUUGCAAGCACCUCCAAAAAUCAGCACAUACACGGUUUGAUCUUUGCCCAAUGUCGUGUGUAUCCUUAAGACUGUAGCAUGCCUUUUUUCAGUUGAUGGAUCUUAUUAUCAGUCACGAGUUUGUUUGCUGAGUCUGAGAUCAUUUUAUGUUGAGUCAAGUCUCAUAUGUGGGUUUUAGUUUUGAGAAAUGGUGAAUGAUGAUGUAUGAUUGUUAAACCUAUGUUGUGUUUGUGUUGUUGUUGCAGGAAAUGUAACGAUGUAUAAAGCUAUAUUUUGUGGUUUAUGUGUAAUUGUGUUUAUGGCA